rnacentral:rRNA from 1 species
AGAGUGAACGCUGGCGGCAGGCCUAACACAUGCAAGUCGAACGGCAGCACGAGAGAGCUUGCUCUCUUGGUGGCGAGUGGCGGACGGGUGAGGAAUACGUCGGAAUCUGCCUUUUUGUGGGGGAUAACGUAGGGAAACUUACGCUAAUACCGCAUACGACCUACGGUGAAAGACGGAGGACCUCGGUCGUUCGUCGCAGAAAGAAUAGUAGACGACGUACGGAGUA